rnacentral:rRNA from 1 species
AUUGAACGCUGGCGGCAGGCCUAACACAUGCAAGUCGAGCGGUAGAGAGGUGCUUGCAUCUCUUGAGAGCGGCGGACGGGUGAGUAAUGCCUAGGAAUCUGCCUAGUGGUGGGGGAUAACGUUCGGAAACGGACGCUAAUACCGCAUACGUCCUACGGGAGAAAGCGGGGGAUCUUCGGACCUCGCGCCAUUAGAUGAGCCUAGGUCGGAUUAGCUAGUUGGUGAGGUAAUGGCUCACCAAGGCGACGAUCCGUAACUGGUCUGAGAGGAUGAUCAGUCACACUGGAACUGAGACACGGUCCAGACUCCUACGGAGGCAGCAGUGGGGAAUAUUGGACAAUGGGCGAAAGACCUGAUCCAGCCAUGCGCGUGUGUGAAGAAGGUCUUCGGAUUGUAAAG